rnacentral:lncRNA from 1 species
AAUUCUAUCUAUUGCCAUCUCUAAUUAUAACUACGAUGAAUGCCACAAUCAUGCAGCAAAAUAAGAACAAAUUAACUUGUUGGAAAUUGGAAAUGAGCAUUACCGCUGCUGCCGCCACCGGAGAGAGCUUCAACCAUCCUCGCCAUCUGUUCCUCUACCUCUCUCAGCAGGCCUCUCUGUGACCUCCAAGACUUCACAUGCCGUCUUCUAAAAUACUUGCAGGGGGCAACAAGCCGAAACUUCCAGGAAGCAUGCAACACGGUGAAACUUCUACGUGGAGACCUCCUCAUUCUGUGGUAUAGGUUUCUCGGAGAGUGGGUUCCAAUUAAUUCCAGUUAACGUCAAGAACAGAUCAAUACAAUACAAACAAAAAAUUAAAA